AACAGUCACGUAUAAAGUGGUUUCUUUGAAAACAGAUGCUGGGUAGUGUUCUAAAAUUUUUUCUAUAGCGAUAAGUUCAGCAUGUCGAAUCCCCUUUAUCAUCGUCAGCAAAGGCAUAUUAAAAUAAGGCUUACCGAGAGGCUGCAGUUAGUUUCAUUAAAACCACGGCCUAUUACUUCUCCUUUAUAUACAAAGACGCAACUACCGGGACUUCUCGGUUGGAUAACGAAGUACGGGCCUAAAUUUAGGACUUUUAGUUGUUAAUAUGUAGGAAAUUGAGCUUACCAUUUCAUGCGCCAACUUCAUAUAUGUUUCAUGCUGAGUAUCAUAUUUCACCGUAUUUGAUGAACUUGUUUUGUUCAUUUCCGCGAGGAUAUCUUGAAGAUGUUGGCUUACAAAAAGUAGGGCUGUGUCAAUGUUUUCUUUUUGAGGGAGUAUAAUAUCAGCGUUCUCUCGAGUCUUCCAAUAAUUAGUAUACAACAGCAAAUAAGAGUUUAACAUACUGGAUGAAUCGAAGAGUCGUAUGCAGGUUUAGACAAAGUUACAAACUAAAAGAAAUUAGAAUAAACCUAGAAGAAAAACCCUUACAUCGUUCAAAACUUUGGUUAAGUCUCCUUUUUCUGCUUUGACCCUCUGUAAAACGCAGCGUUCCAAACGAGUAUCUGCAUCUUCAUAUACAAAAAUUUUAGACGUAUAGUAGGGCAGCAAUUCGGGAAGAAGAAGAUAGUAACCUUCGAUUAGAAUAAUUCUAUUCUGGUCUACAGGUAGCUUUAUACAAGAACCAUCUGGCAAACAUAUUUUCUCGGCUCCUUGAGAAAUCAAAGAAAGAACUUUUUUAAACGCUUCAAUAUCGUAAGAGGAAAGUGCAUACCUGUCGACAGAAUUGGGAUAAAGAAAUGAAGUAAGAUGGAUCAAUUUAGAAAAAGUUGAAGGUGCUGAUGACUUUAAACGUUCAAGUAAUUGCUCACAGAGUUGU